UCUCCGUUGGUGAACCAGCGGAGGGAUCAUUACAGAGUUGCAAAACUCCCACACCCUUUGUGAACGCACUGAAACUACUGCUUCGGCGGGCAGCCCUUCAGGGGGUAGCCCGCCGGAGAAGCACUAAACUCUUGUAUUUUUGGCUUCUCUGAGUAAAACCAUAAAUAAAUCAAAACUUUCAACAACGGAUCUCUUGGUUCUG
rnacentral:misc_RNA from 1 species